rnacentral:rRNA from 1 species
GAUGAACGCUGGCGGCGUGCCUAAUACAUGCAAGUCGAGCGAACAGACGAGGAGCUUGCUCCUCUGACGUUAGCGGCGGACGGGUGAGUAACACGUGGAUAACCUACCUAUAAGACUGGGAUAACUUCGGGAAACCGGAUCUAAUACCGGAUAAUAUAUUGAACCGCAUGGUUCAAUAGUGAAAGACGGUUUUGCUGUCACUUAUAGAUGGAUCCGCGCCGCAUUAGCUAGUUGGUAAGGUAACGGCUUACCAAGGCAACGAUGCGUAGCCGACCUGAGAGAGUGAUCGGCCACACUGGAACUGGGACACGGUCCAGGGUACUACGGGAGGGAGCAGUAGGGAAUCUUCCGCAAUGGGGGAAAGCUUGACGGAGCAACGCCGAGUGAGUGAUGAAGGUCUUCGGAUCGUAAAACUCUGUUAUUAGGGAAGAACAAAUGUGUAAGUAACUAUGCACGUCUUGACGGUACCUAAUCAGAAAGCCACGGCUAACUACGUG